GAUGAACGCUAGCGGCAGGCUUAACACAUGCAAGUCGAGGGGCAGCAUUUACUUCGGUAAGAUGGCGACCGGCGCACGGGUGCGUAACGCGUAUGCAACCUACCUUUAACAGGAGGAUAGCCCCGAGAAAUCGGGAUUAAUACUCCAUAACAUCAUUUUACUGCAUGGUAAAAUGAUUAAAGCUCCGGCGGUUAAAGAUGGGCAUGCGUGACAUUAGUUAGUUGGUGAGGUAACGGCUCACCAAGACAUCGAUGUCUAGGGGUUCUGAGAGGAUGAUCCCCCACACUGGUACUGAGACACGGACCAGACUCCUACGGGAGGCAGCAGUGAGGAAUAUUGGGCAAUGGACGCAAGUCUGACCCAGCCAUGCCGCGUGCAGGAAGACAGCCCUAUGGGUUGUAAACUGCUUUUAUUUAGGAAUAACUCCUCGGUCGAGUAUCGAGGCUGAACGUACUAAAAGAAUAAGCACCGGCUAACUCCGUGCCAGCAGCCGCGGUAAUACGGAGGGUGCAAGCGUUAUCCGGAUUCAUUGGGUUUAAAGGGUUCGCAGGCGGCAUAUUAAGUCAGUGGUGAAAUCCCUCGGCUCAACCGAGGAACUGCCAUUGAAACUGGAAUGCUAGAGUAUAGUUGGCGUAGGCGGAAUGUAUCAUGUAGCGGUGAAAUGCUUAGAUAUGAUACAGAACACCGAUCGCGAAGGCAGCUUACGAAACUAUAACUGACGCUCAGGAACGAAAGCGUGGGUAGCGAACAGGAUUAGAUACCCUGGUAGUCCACGCCGUAAACUAUGAUUACUCGUUGUCGGCGAUACACAGUCGGUGGCUAAGCGAAAGUGAUAAGUAAUCCACCUGGGGAGUACGAUCGCAAGGUUGAAACUCAAAGGAAUUGACGG
rnacentral:rRNA from 1 species